AACGCUGGCGGCGUGCUUAACACAUGCAAGUCGAACGAGAGGACAAGAGAAGCUUGCUUCUUUUGGAAUCGAGUGGCAAACGGGUGAGUAACACGUAAACAACCUGCCUUCAGGAUGGGGACAACAGACGGAAACGACUGCUAAUACCGAAUACGCUUGGGAGACCGCAUGAUCUACCAAGGAAAGGGUGGCCUCUACCUGUAAGCUAUCGCCUGAAGAGGGGUUUGCGUCUGAUUAGGCAGUUGGUGAGGUAACGGCCCACCAAACCUACGAUCAGUAGCCGGUCUGAGAGGAUGAACGGCCACACUGGAACUGAGACACGGUCCAGACUCCUACGGGAGGCAGCAGUGGGGAAUCUUCCGCAAUGGGCGAAAGCCUGACGGAGCAACGCCGCGUGAGUGAUGACGGCCUUCGGGUUGUAAAACUCUGUGAUCCGGGACGAAAAGGCAGAGUGCGAAGAACAAACUGCAUUGACGGUACCGGAAAAGCAAGCCACGGCUAACUACGUG
rnacentral:rRNA from 1 species